AGAGUUUGAUCCUGGCUCAGGACGAACGCUGGCGGCGUGCCUAAUACAUGCAAGUCGAGCGGAGUUACAGAGGAGCUUGCUCUGAAGUGACUCAGCGGCGGACGGGUGAGUAACACGUAGGCAACCUGCCCGUAAGACCGGGAUAACCCACGGAAACGUGAGCUAAGACCGGAUAAUCGGUUUCUCCGCAUGGAGGGACC
rnacentral:rRNA from 1 species